UGUAAGUAAUAAAGAGCGGGAGUGCAAAAAUUGAAAAGAGAUGAAAAUGGGGUGCAGUAAUCAAACAAGUCCGAAAAACAAGGCCCAACCCAAACAGAAAUAAACAAGACUGUAGGGUUAUAAUACAGAGGGAAAUUACUUCUUACACCCUACAUUUUCUUUUUACACCUUAUCACCUAUCACUAAAAAGAUAAAUUACGACCCCU
rnacentral:lncRNA from 1 species